CUUCUGCUCUGUCCAACUGGCUUCUACCGGUAGGUGACAGGGCAGUGUUCCCAGCAGUGGGACAAGAGGCACUGGCACCAGGCCAUGAGCCAUGCAUUCCUAGCUCUGCAGGGCAUGCAUGCCACGCGGACUGUGACAGUGAGCUCUUCCAGGCCCCCAGUGAGCCUGAGAGGGGGUCUGGGAAGAGUCAAGAGACACCCAGACAGUGCCAUGUGGCAGUGAAGCCUCUGGUCCCAAUCUGCCAGGGUGCAAAGCCCCAGGACUGCUGGUGGGAUGUUGGCACUACCCCGUUUUCCUUUUCCAGCUACAACAGAAUGGCAGAGAGGAAAGGACCCUCCGGGAUCUUCCAGUUCAGCCAGCCCAUUUUACAGAGGUGGAGACUGAGGCCAGAGGUAGGGAAUGGCCCCUAUCUUGCAGAGGUGAAAGGGGUCCAGGGAGCGAACUUGGGGGAAGGUCCUGGGCUGCUCGGUCUGUUCUAGUGUCUAGCACUGGGCAUCCUGGGUGAAGUCAUCCAGUCCAAACCCAUUUUCCAGGUGAGGAAACUGAGGCCUGGCAUUGCCUGAGAGAUCUGCAACCUGCACCCCAAGCUGACAGGGUGUGUGCAGGCCUGGAGCCCUCAUGAGUCCUCCUAUUCAAAGGCCCUUCCCUCCCCCUCUUGAGCGCUGUUCCUCUGUGUGUAUCCGCUGCAGACAGGGGCCAGCAGGGUCUGGGAAAGCCACAUCAGAAGCCUGCCCAGCUGGAGCGGAGGAAUGGGAGAGUGGCUUCUUGGAGGUCUUCAGCCUGGGAAAAGUCCGAGGCCUUCCUGUCCCCGCUCACCCUGUUCCUCCCAGGCAGGUCUGGUCCAGACAGCUGUGAGAAGUCCCCUGGAGGCAGCGUCCCAGUGGAGCUGGGAGGAAAGAGGGGCCCAGAAAAAGGAAUUUGACCUCUGAUCUGCAGCCAGUUGGUAGCAUUAUUCUGGAUUAUCCUAAAUUGAGCCUGGAACCCUGGGCUUGUGUGACAGACCAAGGGGCCCCACGGGCUCUCUCUGCUCAGGCAGCUGGAGACACAGGUAGCGCCGUAACACCCAGCGACACAGGCAUGAUUCUUUUCCAUAAAACAUUCACACCACUGCCAGCCUUGAUUCUCAAAACAGCCCUGCCAAGGAGAGGCUGUUACUGUCCCAUUUUACAGAUGAAAACAUCAAGGCUCAGGGCCGG
rnacentral:lncRNA from 1 species